GCUGCCAGAUUCUCCCCCGAAGUUGGUGCCACCAGGAUGGGCCGCCCAUCGUCUGCCUGCCCACCGCAAUGCUUUCCCAGGCACCGAGCAAGGCAAAUUUGUUGGGACCCACUCCUCUCCUCGUAUUCUCCUCCCUGGUCUGGCCAUAGCGCCUUGACGAGCAUGCAUUCUUCUCCACAAACUCAACAAUGGAGUCUUCCUCCUCUUCUUAGAUCCAGAUUUUUCGGAAGUUGGUGAGGAGCCCCAAUGGCGGUUGGAAAAGAGGAACGGAGCCAUCGGAAAGAGCUGGUUCAGCGUAUUUCAAUCGACGAACCAGCAACGGGCCGGGAUUUGUUUCGAUUGAACCAGCAACGGCCUGUUCAUAGCUGCUACCAUUCAUGCUCCAAUCACACUUCAACCAUGGAGGCAUGGGGAAUCAAAUGGGUCUGUUCUAUUCCUAAUCGAUUUCCGAAACUAGGUUCCGAACCAUCUUGCACUGCAUCCACUGUUUGUUUUUACGAGUAUUUUUCUGUCUACAUUUCUUGUUUGUUCACAAGCAAAUCAGGUGCAGGAAUGACAUUCCAGGAUAUAUAUGGUAAUGAGAGCCGGCAGUGGAGUGUUGAACACUGCAGCUGAUGAGUUGAAUGGAAAAAAAUGGUAGUAGCAGCGUAGAAGAAGGAUUAGACCUCCAAUGGAUAUUCAGGAGUUGUUUGGAUGUUGAAAGUUACCCUGUGGAACAUAACUCAUCUGUGGAAGCUGAAUCUUCCUCCAUUUGCGUGGGAGAUGGUGGCAGAAAGUCCAUAGGACUUUCGACAGGAGAGGAGGCUGCUGGCAACCAGAAUGAAUCAGUGCAGUUUGUCUUAGAAAUGGAACACGAAGGGAAUGAUUCUGCCCAACGCACAAUGAUCAGUACAGAAACUGUAGCUCAGCCAUGGCCUAAAGGAAUAGACAUUGGGAAAACUAUUGUUUAUGAUAAAUAUUCUACCAUGUUCUAACAAGAGAUGCACAUGACUAAAAGAUGCACCUGAUCAUUACAUAUAGCCCAUGGGUGACAACAAAGCUUGAUCAAAAUGAGUUGUAUCUAUAUCUAGUUCCCUUCCUUUUUCAGUAAGAGGCUGCCUCAAGGCACCUAAAGGGUGCCCCCAAAGCUUAAUGGGUGCAAUCGAGAGGGCGCUACACAAUUCUUCAAAUAGAAAGGGUAAAUACACCUGGAAUGACUUUUGAUUGCGUGAGUGAAGCACAAGAGUUUUAUUUUAUAUAUAUAUAUAUAUAUAUAUAUAUAUAUAUAUAUAUAUAUAUUCUUGGGAGGAUGGAUUUGGUACAAAGGAGGAGGAUAAAUAUGGGAAAAUAAUGCAAGAAUUUCAAAGCCAGUACCAUGCAACCGAGUUGCUAAUGUUAAUGGAAGUUGUUGUGAGUAUGCUGCUACCGAAACAGAUUGUGAAUCCAUCGGAACUUGUAUGGUGCAGCAGGAUCUAGUGCUAGUUUGAGUGAAAAUGAGGCGUGGUGUUCAAAGGAUGAAUCGCUACAAGACAAGGAAUGAGAUAAUAAGGGAGAAAUUGAAGCAGUUAGGGAGGAAGGUUUGCAAGAAGAAGAAGAAAACAAGAAGUGUUGCAGCACCCGCGGGCUUGAUGACCAACAUGUCAGAAUGCGUAACAAAAAAUGUUGGUAUUACUGAGAAUGGGGAGUUCUAAUUUCAACUGAUGCUAGUAUCUGGACCUGAUGGUAGAUGGUGUUUUGGUUGUUGGACAUGCAAGAUUUGCAGUGCCUACAAUCCAUUUUGCAUGUAGGUCCCUUUGAUUGAUGGUUCAUGUAUUUGCGUGUGGAUGCCAAGUUAUUAUCUUUUUAUAUCACUACUAAAUGUAUUGUUGAGACAAUUUAAUAUACCACUGGCACGAUUCAAUGGAAAAUAUUUGGCACUGUUGACCAAUCUA